UACAGAGGUCUCAAGCGUUGUUCGGAUUCAUUGGGCGUAAAGGGUGCGUAGGCGGCGCGGUAAGUCGGGUGUGAAAUCUCGGAGCUUAACUCCGAAACUGCAUUCGAUACUGCCGUGCUUGAGGACUGGAGAGGAGACUGGAAUUUACGGUGUAGCGGUGAAAUGCGUAGAUAUCGUAAGGAAGACCAGUGGCGAAGGCGGGUCUCUGGGCCGAUACUGACGCUGAGGAGCGAAAGCGUGGGAGCGAACAGG
rnacentral:rRNA from 1 species